rnacentral:rRNA from 1 species
AUUGAACGCUGGCGGCAUGCCUUACACAUGCAAGUCGAACGGUAACAGGUCUUCGGAUGCUGACGAGUGGCGCACGGGUGAGUAAUACAUCGGAACGUGCCCGAUCGUGGGGGAUAACGAGGCGAAAGCUUUGCUAAUACCGCAUACGAUCUACGGAUGAAAGCGGGGGAUCUUCUGACCUCGCGCGGACUGAGCGGCCGAUGGCAGAUUAGGUAGUUGGUGGGAUAAAAGCUUACCAAGCCGACGAUCUGUAGCUGGUCUGAGAGGAUGAUCAGCCACACUGGGACUGAGACACGGCCCAGACGCCUAAGGGAGGCAGCAGUGGGGAAGUUUGGACAAUGGGAGAAAGCCUGAUCCAGCCAUGCCGCGUGCAGGAUGAAGGCCUUCGGGUUGGAAACUGCUUUUGUACGGAACGAAAAGCCUCUUUCUAAUAAAGAGGGGUCAUGACGGUACCGUAAGAAUAAGCACCGGCUAACUACGUG